rnacentral:tRNA from 1 species
GGGAUGUAGCUCAGUGGUAGAGUGUGUGCUUAGCAUGCACAAGGCCCUGGGUUCAAUGCCCAGUAUCAAGA